GCCUUCGCCACGCCCGCUCAAGAAACGUUAAAGGAAUUGACGGGGACCCGCACAAGCGGUGGAUGAUGUGGUUUAAUUCGAUGCAACGCGAAAAACCUUACCCACCUUUGACAUGUACGGAACCCUCCAGAGACGGAGGGGUGCCCGAAAGGGAAAGUGGACACAGGUGCUGCAUGGCUGUCGUCAGCUCGUGUCGUGAGAUGUUGGGUUAAGUCCCGCAACGAGCGCAACCCUUGCCGAUAGUUGCUACGAAAGGGCACUCUAUCGGGACUGCCGGUGACAAACCGGAGGAAGGUGGGGAUGACGUCAAGUCCUCAUGGCCCUUAUGGGUAGGGCUUCACACGUCAUACAAUGGUCGGUACAGAGGGCUGCCAACCCGCGAGGGGGAGCUAAUCCCACAAAACCGAUCGUAGUCCGGAUUGGAGUCUGCAACUCGACUCCAUGAAGUCGGAAUCGCUAGUAAUCGUGGAUCAGCAUGUCACGGUGAAUACGUUCCCGGGUCUU
rnacentral:rRNA from 1 species